AGGUUGGAUCAACUUUGUUGUGACAGUUUCUCAGAUUUUCCUGUUGUUUGAUGACCUUGACAAUUUUCCGGAGUGCUAGUCAGAUAACUACAAGUUGUUAUUUGGGAAUAACUUUAAUUUCUAGAGAAUGAACUGGAGAAAAGCAUUUCUGGGAAAAGACUGGUGACCUGGCCAGAUAACUAGAAUCAGAAUGCAGAAUCAGGACACCACUAUGGACCAGGGCAUGUAGCGAUUUAUUCUAUAUAACUAAGGUGAAAGUACUUACAAUGCAUGUAAUAAAUUAUUAGGAAAAUCA